UACGAAGGGGGCUAGCGUUGUUCGGAAUCACUGGGCGUAAAGCGUAUGCAGGCGGGUCGCUAAGUCGGGGGUGAAAUGCCGAGGCUCAACCUCGGAACUGCCUUCGAUACUGGCGAUCUUGGAGUCCGGGAGAGGUGAGUGGAACUGCGAGUGUAGAGGUGAAAUUCGUAGAUAUUCGCAAGAACACCAGUGGCGAAGGCGGCUCACUGGCCCGGUACUGACGCUGAGAUACGAAAGCGUGGGGAGCAAACAGG
rnacentral:rRNA from 1 species